AUUGAACGCUGGCGGCAGGCCUAACACAUGCAAGUCGAGCGGAUGAAGGGAGCUUGCUCCUGGAUUCAGCGGCGGACGGGUGAGUAAUGCCUAGGAAUCUGCCUGGUAAUGGGGGAUAACGUCCGGAAACGGGCGCUAAUACCGCAUACGUCCUGAGGGAGAAAGUGGGGGAUCUUCGGACCUCACGCUAUCAGAUGAGCCUAGGUCGGAUUAGCUAGUUGGUGGGGUAAAGGCCUACCAAGGCGACGAUCCGUAACUGGUCGGAGAGGAUGAUCAGUCACACUGGAACUGAGACACGGUCCAGACUCCUACGGGAGGCAGCAGUGGGGAAUAUUGGACAAUGGGCGAAAGCCUGAUCCAGCCAUGCCGCGUGUGUGAAGAAGGUCUUCGGAUUGUAAAGCACUUUAAGUUGGGAGGAAGGGCAGUAAGUUAAUACCUUGCUGUUUUGACGUUACCAACAGAAUAAGCACCGGCUAACUUCGUG
rnacentral:rRNA from 1 species